GACGAACGCUGGCGGCGUGCUUAACACAUGCAAGUCGAACGGAAAGGCCCUGCUUUUGUGGGGUGCUCGAGUGGCGAACGGGUGAGUAACACGUGAGUAACCUGCCCUUGACUUUGGGAUAACUUCAGGAAACUGGGGCUAAUACCGGAUAGGAGCUCCUGCUGCAUGGUGGGGGUUGGAAAGUUUCGGCGGUUGGGGAUGGACUCGCGGCUUAUCAGCUUGUUGGUGGGGUAGUGGCUUACCAAGGCAUUGACGGGUAGCCGGCCUGAGAGGGUGACCGGCCACAUUGGGACUGAGAUACGGCCCAGACUCCUACGGGAGGCAGCAGUGGGGAAUAUUGCACAAUGGGCGGAAGCCUGAUGCAGCAACGCCGCGUGCGGGAUGACGGCCUUCGGGUUGUAAACCGCUUUCGCCUGUGACGAAGCGUGAGUGACGGUAAUGGGUAAAGAAGCACCGGCUAACUACGU
rnacentral:rRNA from 1 species